AACCCUUGAUUUUAGUUGCCAUCAUUAAGUUGGGCACUUUAAGGUGACUGCCGGUGACAAACCGGAGGAAGGUGGGGAUGAAGUCAAAUCAUCAUGCCCCUUAUGACCUGGGCUACACACGUGGUACAAUGGGCGGUACAAAGAGGUGCAAGACCGCGAGGUGGAGGUAAUUUCAUAAAACCGUUUUCAGUUUGGAUUGU
rnacentral:rRNA from 1 species